CAAUAUAACAAAAAGUGAAAAAAAAUGAAGGGGUCUGAAUAUUUUAUGAAUGCACUAUGUAUAAAACCAUGAUCACUAACAUGAGAUGAAAACUCAAAAGUCAUAUCAGUAACUUUACAAAAGUUGUUUCAUUCUACAGGGGGAGUGUCCCCUCAUGGGGGCGGCCAAGUUAAGGUCACGUGACCAGCCGAAUACAAAUUAACCUUAUUGGACAAUUGUACAUUAAAUAAAUUAUGACUGACUGUGAUAUAGAAAAGUGAAUUUCUAAAUUUCAGUGUCAGUCAAAGAUGACAUACAUAAAAAAAAUACUGAGUGCACCUUUAAAAAAGUAAUUGAAUGCUGUUAAGAGUUAUAAAUUGGUCAAAAAAUAGGGUUAGACUUUUGACUGUCGGCAUAGAGUCUGGUCCGUAUUGUAGCUAUUUUUAAAGAAAGGGGCUGUCUGACCAACAACAGUUUGUUUUUUAGAUGUAACGUUCCGAGUCAUGAAUUUCCGAUAGGUUGAAUGGCAGGGGAAGAGUAAUUUAUAUUCAUGAGUAAAGUGAUAUCUGAUUGGACAAUUUAGAAAUAUUCAUCAGUAAAGUGGUGCCUGAAUAGUCAGAGAAACUACAACCCAACCCCUAAACCUAACCCUUACAAAUGAGGUAGCAAGUUACUCAUAAAUUAGUCUUCCCUUGCUACUUUUCGGAAAUCCGCUUUCGGGCAAUAUUAAUAAAUUGUGCCGGCACAACAUUAGAUCAGAAGGCGGCAAAGUAAUAGAUCUUCAACGAGAUGUCACAGUCUCCGCAAAAUGUCGAAUUUCUGUUCAUCCUAAAAUUAUAAGUAACGAUUAUUUCACAGACGUAACUCUAUAAACAAAGUGGUUGUGCUUGAGGACAUCUCGUUGACCUUCAAAUAUUGCUCAAAACAAAAUACAGCACAAAUCUUCUUUUUACAUUUCAUAAUACUCCUUAAAUACAUAUAGAUAUCCAUCCACCUUUUUCCUGAACGAGGAAGUAUUCCACGAUUCAUUAUGGAAGCCUGUUUUUGUUUUCCACUCACAUCGGCGCAUAUUUUUAGUGGAUAAUGUGAGUUUAGCAUAUUAUAUCCCCCCCACAUGUGGCUUCAUAAUGCUGAUACUUUAUAGAGUCGUGAUGACCGUCUUUUGACAGUGCCUCUUAAGUUUAAGGAGUACGCUCACAAAAAAAUCUAGAGUUCUGGCAAACUAGCCGCAAACUUGCCACAAAUUCGCCAAAAUUGUUUGCCAGAAGUUUGCAGCUCUUCACCGGUAGUGGUGAACCUGCAGCAAACCAUUGGCAACAAUGGACAAUUUGACACAAGUUGACAUCAUUUACUACUUUGAGUUGUUAUGACAGCCAACAACUGCACAGAUUCAGCCUGAACUCAAUUGCACACUUAAAAUGGUUGUGGUUCUCCAUCUUAAUCAACCAAUCAUUUUGGUCGUUUUAAAUUGGUAUAGAUACCAGAACCAGAAAACAGUCUAGUCGCCCAGUUGUUGGUCAGGAAAAAAAGUGGAAAUGAUUCGAGAAACCAUGAACCGCACAUCCCCACUGUUUACCAAGUACCCUUUUUAAAACACUGCACACCUUAAUUUUGAAAUUAUGACUUGCAAAUAUAUGCUCUAUUAAUAUGUUACAUACAAAAGUAGGCCUUCAUUCCACCCACUUCUAGAAUUUUCUAUCAGGCUGAUGAUGGACAGCCCGGGGUCCUAAAACAGCCAUUUAACUUCUUGUUUUGAACAUAAGAAGGUAAAUGACAACAUGCAGAAGAUCAAAAAGUUGAUCGGACCCAAAUAUGUCUCCAUUUUCAGAGUGUGGGUUCCCACCCUGGUCGGUUGGGGUACAGUAGGUGGAGUGGCUCUUAUCCAUUUCACAGACUGGCGGCUCAUUCUGGAUUAUGUUCCUUACAUUAGAGGCAAAUUCAAGAAGGACGAGGACGACUAGUUGUCCAACUCUUUAUCAUGGACUAUGGAAAGCGAUUGGUGUGUAUUUCCCACCGGGCACAUAUUUCUAGGUGAUGUGCUUUGACCAGCCAGUAGGCGGCGCUGGUGAUGCGAAAUGAAGUUUUUUUUUUUUUUUUAGAUAAUUGUCUUUUUUUUCAAGACAUUAUUGUUAUGCAAUGAUAUGGUUGUAUAAAAUUUAUUUAUUUAUUUAUUUUUUUUUGCAAUGUCCUGAUUGUAAAGCAGACUGUAAACAACCCAAGCUAAUGAGUUGCCUGUCUGUCUGUACAGGGCUGAUACACCUGGUAAUGGGAGAUGGAGGCUUGCUCUUUUUCUUGGCUUGGCACACCACUCAAUAUGAGUUUGCACUCUGAGCAUUAAAGAGAUGUUGUAUUUACGUUGUGUUACUUUUGUGAAUAAAUUUAAUAUUUUUCCUCUU